rnacentral:rRNA from 1 species
ACACGACUACAUUAGAUACCCGGGUAGUCCCAGCCCUAAACGAUGCGCGUUAGGUGUAUCGGUGACCACGAGUCACCGAGGUGCCGAAGGGAAACCGUGAAACGUGCCGCCUGGGAAGUACGGUCGCAAGGCUGAAACUUAAAGGAAUUGGCGGGGGAGCACCGCAACGGGAGGAGCGUGCGGUUCAAUUGGAUUCAACGCCGGACAACUCACCAGGAGCGACGGUUACAUGAAGGCCAGGCUGAUGACCUUGCCUGAUUUUCCG